GGAUUCCAAGAACGAGUAUAUCAAUAUCUCAAUGAAUUCAAUAAACAUGAGAUUCAAGUUCGAGCCAACGAAAUAUUUAUUCUCGGAAAGCAUUCAAGACAAGAUUUUGAGAAUAAAUAUAGUUCAAUAUCGAUUCAAGGAAAAUGUUCAGGCCAAGGAAUCAAGUAUAGGAAUUAACCGUGAACAUAGCAACCAAGAGAAUUGACAAGUUCAAGAUUUC
rnacentral:lncRNA from 1 species